GCGGGGCAGCGGGCCCGGCGGGCUCCGCCCCCGCCGGGUGGGGUCUGCCGGUGGGGGCGUGGCCUCCGCGCUGCGGUGUCGCGCUCGCCGCGGGGCGGCUGGGCGCUGCUGCGCCGCCCGGGGCCCGGUGCCCGUUCUCCGGUGCCCGGUCCCCGCGGAGCUGGUCCCUCUCAGCUGCGGAGGAGAAGCCUGAGGGCUUGGCCCAGGAUCAUGCUGGUGCACAGAGAAAGAACAAUUCCAGGACAAAUCAGGACACCUUCCCAGGUUUAUCUGCAAUUCCUUUGCCCGUAGUGUCUUAGUUACAGAAGAGAGCGGAAAACCCCUGGAAGAACCUGCGUGUGUCUGCGACCUGUGAUCAGUUCCAUUAGCAUGCAGGCCCCGGCCCGUGCUCUGGGAGCGGGAGAACACGGGCUGUUCCCGGAGCCCGCUGCGGCCGCAGAGCCCUCUGGCCUGCCCGGCGCGGCCCGGGGGCCCGGCGGGGCGCAGCGAGGUUUCCGUGUCAGAGCCAGCAGGCGAGGCUGUGCCUAAUGCCAUUUCCGACCCUGCCCGGCCUCUGAGCAGACCCGAAGGAACGCGUUUGGAUCUCAGGGCUCCAGAGAGCCCCUUCUUAGUGUGGAAAGUCCUGAUCUACGUCCUACAGAGCCAGUUCUGCAGUUUUGGACAGCUGCAGGUCACCGCUGUCUUCUAAGUCAAUCUGACUGAAUUUCAGGCUGUGGAGUUAAAUGUCUCGGAGUUAAAACAUCCUGCUCUUACAGAGCAAAACGCCACAAGUUCAGAUCAAGAAGCUCUCAGAAUGUAUCUUAGAGCUUACCUUCUCACCUUCCACAGAGCAUCGCAGCAGAUUCAGAGCUCUUCAGACCCCUCGUUCAUCAGACUUGUGUCAGGUCUUCAGUCAAAGGUGCAGGAUCCCCUCUGACGCCAGCACUGGUCUGUGGUUUCACAUCUUCCAUGCGCUUGGUUGUCUCGAGCGUACCUGUACCAUUCCAAAGAGGGAAAAUGUCAAAGGACUUGUCAUCUGCACUGUUUUCCUUCUGGAGAAACUGAAGUAAUAGCCCUCACUCUCCCCAUGAGUUCACUCAAAGAGUAUCCUUUGGGUUAUUAUUACAGCAAGUCAUGCAAAAAACAAACAAAGGCAGGAGCCAGAAGUUAUGUAUAUUAUUUACAAAGUUCACGCAAAAGCUUCCAGCUCCACGGUGUCCCAACCCCUGUCACGAGUUUUCCAAAGGCAGGGGCCGUGUCACGGCUCUGCACGCAGGACGGGGAUGCGCACGGCGGCGUCCCCGUGCGCAGGGCGGCCGCCCCGUCCUCCCGCCGCGGCCGCUCCGCGCGCCUGCUUUGUGGCGAAACGACGUGUCUCCUCUUCUCGCUCAUCUGAGGACUUUAAUAGCCCUGUUGGCACUGGAGGCACAGGAACUGUCUCCAGGCCCUGCACUGGAAUUCCAGCAUGAUUCGAUUUCCUUAUUGUCUCCGUUGCCUGUGCUGUUGUACACACUGAGGCCAUCUUCUCAACAGCUAAGCACAAACGGGAUUUAGCUGCCAAGGGACAUUUAGCAGCUUUCCAUGAUUAAACUGGAAUGCAAUGUGACACACAAAGGUUAAAUCAGGAAGCUGAUUAACUUUUAUAUUUAUCAGUAGAUAUCUGUCAGAUUCUCAUUAGUUCCGGCUCAUGUUUCUCAUUGAAAUGUCACGCAGUAUCAAUUUAAGUAUCUUGAUUAACUGUAAAUUACUUUUUACUCUGAAAUAGGCUAUAUAAUUAAUUAAUUCACUCAUAAUAAUCAGCAUCAGUAUUGAUUUUGAUCUAAUUAAUUAAUUAAAUAGUGAGAUUGAUAAAACACUCUUUAGCUUUCCAAGGAAGAAAACAGCAGCUAAUGCAAUUGAACACCAAUUGAAGAGGUCCACCAGAUUUUGUCACAUCAAGAUCUGGAAAUCAGCUAAUUCUCUUGAUGGUGAAACUAAACCUCUAAACCAUCCCACACUUCUGCCUUUUCUUUCAGCUCCGUCAUAGCCGUAAAAUCCUUUUCAAUUAGCUAUAACACUGAUUAAUAUGCAGAAGUUCAAACCUGUCGACAUGCAGUUUGUGGCUGAUGGGUGCAGAGAUCAUUUUCCAUCACUUUAACGCCAUCAUCCCAAUUUUGCUUCGUAACCCUGACUCCUGUUCCUCUGUUGACUCAGACAAGCACAUCCUUAUCUUUUCCAGUUUUUCAUGUUUUAUUUGAUUUUACCUAAAAUUUAUCCUGAGGUAUUCAAAUAUUCUUCUAUCCAAAGAAAAAAAUGUUAGGCCACAUUGCUGACUUGCUAAAUUUUCAAAAUGUCCUCUUAAGCUUUCUGAACUUAUAUCCAUUACAUUCAGCAGCAGUUCCUCGUGGAUUUAAGCAAAGAUUCUUGUCCUCCUUCAGGGCUCUUCAGUUACCGUAUUUCCAAAGGAAUGAACAAUUGGGCCCUCGACGUGCGUGCCGCGGAGAGCAGCGCCGCGCAGCCCGUCCUCCGGCUGCCCCGGGCGCCACCAGAGCGACCGCGCCGGGCCGCCAGCCGCUCCGAGGAGCUCACGGCAGCGCAGGUCAGCUGCCAGCACUUCGUGUUUGAAUGAGACAGGGUUCAGGCUCAUUUAUGUUCACAGUUCAUUCUCUCCAGUGCCUUUUUAUGUCCGUUGCUACGUAUGCAAAAAUUGCACAAAAUGAUAUUGAUAAAAUGAUUGCAGAAGACAGAACUCGUAACAGGAACUUGAAAAAGCCAAAUAUUUUAAACAACAAAACAUUUUGUUCUCUACAGUUCCCGCAAUCUUCUGCAGUUUUUUGGACUGAAGGUUCAGUUAAAAAGAAAAGCCAGAUGGUUCCUAACAAAGCGCUUCUUGUGAGCGGGACGUUCGGGACCGCGGAGCAGCUCACGAGCAGCCGCGGCGGCGCCGCCCCAGCACGGCGGCUCCGCAGCCCCACGCGCCCCUCAGACAGCUGGUUGUCCCUGCUGACAAAAGCAUUCAGGUCGUUCUUUCGGUUUGCACUGAGAGCCCCCUCUCCAAAGCCUUUCAGAAAACUAAGUGUGCAACACGCCGUGGGUUCUAACAACGCAGCGUUGGUGCGUCACAGUUGGGUACGUGGGAGGCUGCCGCCAGUCUGAGCAACUCUUGGAGAAGCUGUUGUGUUGUAGCAGUGUUGCACAGCUUGCACUGAGGAGCUCUGGUACUCCAACACAGGUGACAUUAAAAAGGCAAAGACCUCAUUGGAACGGGUGUUUUUCAUCAGUCUAGUAAAGGCAGAGUCUAACACUAAAUGAAAAUGGCUGCCAGAAGUAGGCAGAAAUACCAGCCACCCAACUGCCUCUCUUGCUAGAAGAGGGAGGUUGACCUGUGUCACCAUUAACCUGGAUUGUUUAGCAAACACGGUAGUUUUGUAAUUUCUAUAUUUAGGAAAUGGAGAAUAAAUCAAACAUCUUAUUUUAUGAAGUCUUCCUCUUCACAGAAAUUGUUACUUAAGAGCUUAUCAGUAUACAAUCAUUGGGGAAAAAACCCCACAUUUUUUCAUACAAUUUCUGUAUUCAACGUAUGCAAAAAUAAGCUAUUUUGUACUUAUUUAUGGCAUUUAUUCCUCUUAUAAGUUCUUCAGAAUUCCUACAGAUGUUUCCAGUGAGGAAGAGAUUCUGGAAUAUAUAAUCACUUUUUGACAAUUA